CUAUAAUUAGUGGUUAUUCUUUUGACAAGGAGCAUCCUAAUGCCAUCGGAGUCGGUUGGUUUGUCUGGGCAAGCAUCGCAGGUGACAGGCAUGCCAGAUUUCAUGUUUUCUAUAAUGUUGGCCAAAAACACUGC